CUAAACCUUUUUCCCAAUUUUUUUUUUCAAUUUCCAUCAAAACUGCUCCCGUUCUUGAUUCCAAACCCUAACCGUGUCAUUUCAUUCCACAACUUCUUUCCAGAGAAAGAAACUGCAGAUUCCUUUUUGCAGUGAAGAUGCAUAAACCAUAGACGAACAACAUGCUUGUUCUUUACAAUAUGGAAUCCGGACAACAUGCUCGCGAAAUCCCCACUUAAUCCGACCACAUUAAGCUCCAAUCCGUCAAGAUGCAACAAAAAAGAAACAAUGUAGGGCAUCAAAUGACCAUUGGUGACUAAUUGAAAAAAAGCAAAGUAAGGUAUCAGAAACAAAAUACAAAAAAGCUAAAAAGUAGCAAAGGGGGAUCAAAGAAUUGAUUGGUUCUUGUUGACGAGGAUGAUGGGAUAUUUCAAGGUAUCAGUUUGUGAGAUUUUAAGACAAAAUAAAUGACAAACUACAAACCUUCAAGCGGGAGCCUUGAAAUUGAAAAACACAUAGUUGCUUGAAAUGUGAAAAGAAAAUGAAGACUACCAGCAAAGGAAAAAAUCUGAGCUAGAAACUAGGCGGAAAAAUUUUCACAGCCAACAUGCAAACUCUGAAGCUACGAUACGUCAUACUGUGAAAAACUACGUAUUAGAGUACUUUGGAAUCUUAGAGAUGAGUAGAAGGUUUUCGUUACUUUUAUUCAUUGUAAUUGACAGCUAUAUUUUAAUUACAUUGUUACUUUGAGGUU
rnacentral:lncRNA from 1 species